rnacentral:rRNA from 1 species
AUUGAACGCUGGCGGCAGGCUUAACACAUGCAAGUCGAGCGGAGAGAGGUAGCUUGCUACCGAUCUUAGCGGCGGACGGGUGAGUAAUGCUUAGGAAUCUGCCUAUUAGUGGGGGACAACAUUUCGAAAGGAAUGCUAAUACCGCAUACGUCCUACGGGAGAAAGCAGGGGAUCUUCGGACCUUGCGCUAAUAGAUGAGCCUAAGUCGGAUUAGCUAGUUGGUGGGGUAAAGGCCUACCAAGGCGACGAUCUGUAGCGGGUCUGAGAGGAUGGUCCGCCACACUGGGACGGAGACACGGCCCAGACUCCUGCGGGAGGCAGCAGUGGGGAAUAUUGGACAAUGGGCGCAAGCCUGAUCCCGCCAUGCCGCGUGUGUGAAGAAGGUCUUCGGAUUGUAAAGCACUUUAAGUUGGGAGGAAGGGUUGUAGAUUAAUACUCUGCAAUUUUGACGUUACCGACAGAAUAAGCACCGGCUAACUUCGUGCCAGCCGCCGCAGUAAAAC